rnacentral:lncRNA from 1 species
CUCAUCAUCUUCCUUCUCAAAUCCACAGGACAUAAAACAAUAUAGAGGCGGGAGAAUCUCAUUUUAUCCGGAACUUCAGCCCUGCGCUUGGAGAGAGCCAUAGGAUGCGCUACCAACAGCAGGCUAAUGGAACGUGAAGUAUGGACUUUUUGACCGAAAAUACAUCUGUUGUGGACCUGGGAUGCUUUCUGAUGAAGACAACUAAAGGGGACAGCGUUGACAAGAUGUGCGAGUCGAACAAUAGCUCUGAUUCUUUUCAAGCUCAGACAGCUCGUCAUCCAAUGACAGUGAGAUGAAUGAAAGGAUAAGCAGAAGAAAAAAAAACAAGGGACUAAAAAAGGAAAUGGCUGAAUGCAGAGGUUGUGUCAUGACACGGCACAAAUGUAAAUAAUGCAUUCAUUGAAGUCAAUGAACAUUAGACACUUUUUGAGUGUUUAAAGGCAAGCUAGCACAGUCAAGCUGUCAUAUGGCAUGUAUAUUCAUGGAACACUAACGAAAAAAGUUUCAAUUUAAAGUUCUACCAUAGAAUAGAAAUUCAAAGAUAAUUGGCCACACCCAUGGAAAAUCCCAAGGUCACGAUGGAAAGGCCUGAUGAUUGUAAGGGGAACAAAAGAGCCCAGCUCCCCCAGGAAAUGUACUAUGUUUUACAACUAAGGUCAUACGUCUUUGAAUUGCUGUCAGCGAUUUCAACAAAAGCAUAUAAUAGUCUGCAUACAUGUCAAUACAUACAGAUCCUACUGUUUAUGUCAACACAUAUUCCUGUUCAUUUAUUAAAAUCAGUUUGAAGUGCAACUAGCUAUCUCCUGCACAGGAUAGCGGGCAAAGGCUCGUUGAUGUUUCUCUGUAUACAUCAAUGAUGUCGCUCUUGCUGCUGGUGAGUCUCUGAUCCACCUCUACGCAGACGACACCAUUCUGUAUACUUCUGGCCCUUCUUUGGACACUGUGUUAACAACCCUCCAGACGAGCUUCAAUGCCAUACAACUCUCCUUCCGUGGCCUCCAACUGCUCCUAAAUACAAGUAAAACUAAAUGCAUGCUCUUCAACCGAUCGCUGCCUGCACCUGCCCGCCUGUCCAGCAUCACUACUCUGGACGGUUCUGACUUAGAAUAUGUGGACAACUACAAAUACCUAGGUGUCUGGUUAGACUGUAAACUCUCCUUCCAGACUCACAUCAAACAUCUCCAAUCCAAAGUUAAAUCUAGAAUUGGCUUCCUAUUUCGCAACAAAGCAUCCUUCACUCAUGCUGCCAAACAUACCCUCGUAAAACUGACCAUCCUACUGAUCCUCGACUUCGGCGAUGUCAUUUACAAAAUAGCCUCCAAUACCCUACUCAACAAACUGGAUGCAGCCUAUCACAGUGCCAUCCGUUUUGUCACCAAAGCCCCAUAUACUACCCACCACUGCGACCUGUACGCUCUCGUUGGCUGGCCUUCGCUUCAUAAUCGUCACCAAACCCACUGGCUCCAGGUCAUCUACAAGACCCUGCUAGGUAAAGUCCCCCCUUAUCUCCGCUCACUGGUCACCAUAGCAGCACCCACCUGUAGCACGCGCUCUAGCAGGUAUAUCUCUCUGGUCACCCCCAAAGCCAAUUCCUCCUUUGGCCAUCUCUCCUUCCAGUUCUCUGCUGCCAAUGACUGGAACAAACUACAAAAAUCUCUGAAACUGGAAACACUUAACUCCCUCACUAGCUUUAAGCACCAGCUGUCAGAGCAGCUCACAGAUCACUGCACCUGUACAUAGCCCAUCUAUAAUUUAGCCCAAACAACUACCUCUUCCCCUACUGUAUUUAUUUAUUUUAUUUAUUUUGCUCCUUUGCACCCCAUUAUUUAUAUUUCUACUUUGCACUUUCUUGUACUACAAAUCUACCAUUCCAGUGUAUUACUUGCUAUAUUGUAUUUACUUUGCCACCAUGGCCUUUUUUGCCUUUACCUCCCUUAUCUCACCUCAUUUGCUCACAUUGUACAUAGACUUUUUUUUCUACUGUAUUAUUGACUGUAUGUUUGUUUUAC